UUGAUAUGUGUUGUUAUCUUGUUACGGAACGAAAUUUUAAGCAAUAUUAUAAUGACAUUAUUUUAUCUAAUAGUGUUGAUGAAACCCUUUAUCAGUUUUGAGUUAAUUUGAAUUUCGUGGUUCUUAUUUUGAAGCUCCUGCUAUUUUCAUUUUUGUAAGGGGGUUUUGGCGAGUAGACUAGCUUGACAACAAUCCAACAACAACAAAUUGGUAGAACAGUGUUACUUUUGAAGCUCCUUGGUUUUGUCAAGUCUUACUACAGUUGUGGCCUCUGUCGAGCUUCAGUUCUUGCUAUUUCUACAUAUUUUUGUCUACCUACAAAACAAUUGGUAGAACAGUGUGGCGAAUUUUAGUGCUGGACAGAUUUGUAACCUUUCUACUUGCGCAGAAGCACAAAUUGAAACUUGGCAGUGAGGAAGAUUUUAUGCGAAGGAAUGGGAGAAACUUUUGAUGGCUAUGUAGAUAAGUGGGCUGUUGUGAAUUUUUGGUCCUUGCAAUACGAGAAAUAUUGUGUGUGAUCUUAUCAAAUGUGGGAAUAUGAACGGAAUGGUUGCGCUAUUCUCUUGGUCAGAACAUGUGAAUGGUGGGCAACAGUGAGCUUCUUUGCCGCAUUGUCAAAUUUGAGUUCGUUCUCCCCAGAUUAUGCUCAACAACUCUUAACAUCUUUUGGUGCAGCGAUGGUUAUUGGUCGGUAACCUGAUCCCUAAUAAGAAAGAGAUGAGU